rnacentral:lncRNA from 1 species
AACUAUUUAAUAUUAUUUAUUUAAAAUGUAGAAUUUUACUUCUCUACAUUAUUUUACGAUAUAUAUUAAAUGAAUGUAAACUUAUCAUCCUAUAGUUACUCUAAAAAAUUUUGUGUGCCUUACCUUCUGUACGUAGACUGCACUUCGUGGCAGCAAGUCAAGAACACAGAUAUCUUAUGUAGUAUGUUGUAGUUGUGGUUGCAUGCGUUUGUCCCCUCUUUUUCUGAUGUUGUGCUUGGCCGCGUGGUCUCUGCUUUAGCCAUAUA